rnacentral:rRNA from 1 species
CCUACGGGUGACAGCAGUGGGGAAUAUUGGACAAUGGGCGAAAGCCUGAUCCAGCCAUGCCGCGUGUGUGAAGAAGGCCUUCGGGUUGUAAAGCACUUUCAGUGGGGAAGAAAGCCUUGGGGCUAAUACCCUCGAGGAAGGACAUCACCCACAGAAGAAGCACCGGCUAACUCCGUGCCAGCAGCCGCGGUAAUACGGAGGGUGCGAGCGUUAAUCGGAAUUACUGGGCGUAAAGCGCGCGUAGGCGGUCUGAUAAGCCGGUUGUGAAAGCCCCGGGCUCAACCUGGGAACGGCAUCCGGAACUGUCAGGCUAGAGUGCAGGAGAGGAAGGUAGAAUUCCCGGUGUAGCGGUGAAAUGCGUAGAGAUCGGGAGGAAUACCAGUGGCGAAGGCGGCCUUCUGGACUGACACUGACGCUGAGGUGCGAAAGCGUGGGUAGCAAACAGGAUUAGAUACCCUUGUAGUC